GCUCGAGUGGCGAACGGGUGAGUAACACGUGAGUAACCUGCCCUUGACUUUGGGAUAACUUCAGGAAACUGGGGCUAAUACCGGAUAGGAGCUCCUGCUGCAUGGUGGGGGUUGGAAAGUUUCGGCGUUUGGGGAUGGACUCGCGGCUUAUCAGCUUGUUGGUGGGGUAGUGGCUUACCAAGGCUUUGACGGGUAGCCGGCCUGAGAGGGUGACCGGCCACAUUGGGACUGAGAUACGGCCCAG
rnacentral:rRNA from 1 species